rnacentral:sRNA from 1 species
CUAGACCAAAUAAAGACCUCAGACUCAGGCCUGCCAGCAGUUGAUUUCCAAAUGGGUGGAACUCUUAAAAGCCCCAUUUGUGACCGGGUACAGAGCAGUUGCCUCCUGGAGUCGUGUUCAGGGAAUUGGGAUUCCUUUGGUAACUGCCAUUGAAAUUGUCUCCAUCUGGAUCCUGUCCUUUAUCCUGGCCAUUCCUGAAGCGAUUGGCUUCGUCAUGGUACCCUUUGAAUAUAGGGGUGAACAGCAUAAAACCUGUAUGCUCAAUGCCACAUCAAAAUUCAUGGAGUUCUACCAAGAUGUAAAGGACUGGUGGCUCUUCGGGUUCUAUUUCUGUAUGCCCUUGGUGUGCACUGCGAUCUUCUACACCCUCAUGACUUGUGAGAUGUUGAACAGAAGGAAUGGCAGCUUGAGAAUUGCCCUCAGUGAACAUCUUAAGCAGCGUCGAGAAGUGGCAAAAACAGUUUUCUGCUUGGUUGUAAUUUUUGCUCUUUGCUGGUUCCCUCUUCAUUUAAGCCGUAUAUUGAAGAAAACCGUGUAUAACGAGAUGGACAAGAACCGAUGUGAAUUACUUAGUUUCUUGCUGCUCAUGGAUUACAUCGGUAUUAACUUGGCAACCAUGAAUUCAUGUAUAAACCCCAUAGCUCUGUAUUUUGUGAGCAAGAAAUUUAAAAAUUGUUUCCAGUCAUGCCUCUGCUGCUGCUGUUACCAGUCCAAAAGUCUGAUGACCUCGGUCCCCAUGAAUGGAACAAGCAUCCAGUGGAAGAACCACGAUCAAAACAACCACAACACAGACCGGAGCAGCCAUAAGGACAGCAUGAACUGACCACCCUUAGAAGCACUCCUCAGUACUCCCAUCAUCCUCUCGGAGAAAAAAAUCACACGGCAACUGUGACUCCGGGAAUCUCUUCUCUGAUCCUUCUUCCUUAAUUCACUCCCACACCCAAGAAGAAAUGCUUUCCAAAACCGCAAGGGUAGACUGUUUUAUCCACCCACAACAUUUACGAAUCCUACUUCUUUAAUUGAUCUAAUUUACAUAUUCUGCGUGUUGUAUUCAGCACUAAAAAAUGGUGGGAGCUGGGGAAGAAUGAAGACUGUUAAAUGAAACCAGAAGGAUAUUUACUACUUUUGCAUGAAAAUAGAGCUUUCAAGUACAUGGCUAGCUUUUAUGGUAGUUCUGGUGAAUGUUCAAUGGGAACUGAUCACCAUGAAACUUUAGAGAUUAUGACAAGAUUUUCUACUUUUUUUAAAUGAUUUUUUUGUUCUUCAGCCAAACACAAUAUAGGCUCAAGUCACUUUUAUUUGAAAUGUCAUUUGGUGCCAGUAUUUUUUUAACUGCAUAAUAGCCUAACAUGAUUAUUUGAACUUAUUUACACGUAGUUUGAAAAAAAAAAAGACGAAAAUAGUAUUCAGGUGAGCAAUUAGGUUAGUAUUUUCCACGUCAGUGUUUAUUUUUUUAAAACACAAAUUCUAAAGCUACAACAAAUACUACAGGCCCUUAAAGCACAGUCUGAUGACACAUUUGGCAGUUUAAUAGAUGUUACUCAAAGAAUUUUUUAAAAACUGUAUUUUCUUUUUUAAAUGGUGUUUUAUUACAAGGGAUCUUGAACAUGUUUUGUAUGUUAAAUUCAAAAGUAAUGCUUCAAUCAGAUAGUUCUUUUUCACAAGUUCAGUCUGUUUUUCAUGUAAAUUUUGUAUGAAAAAUCAAUGUCAAGUACCAAAAUGUUAAUGCAUGUGUCAUUUAACUCUGCCUCAGACUUUCAGUGCACUGUGUAUAGAAGUCUAAAGCGUGUACACCUAAGAGGAAAAGAUCAAAUUUUUCAGAUGAUUUGGAAAUUUUCAUUCAGGUAUUUGUAAUAGUGACAUAUACAUGUAUAUACAUAUCACCUCCUAUUCUCUUAAUUUUUCUUAAAAUGUUAACUGGCAGUAAGUCUUUUUUGAUCAUUCCCUUUUCCAUAUAGGAAACAUAAUUUUGAAGUGGCCGGAUGAGUUUAUCAUGUCGGUGAAAAAUAAUUACCCACAAAUGCCACCAGAACUUACGAUUCUUCACUGCUCGGGGUUUUCAGUAUGAACCUAAAUCCCUACCCCAACAUCUCCCUCCCACAUUGUCACCAUUUUAAAGGGCCCACAGUGACUUUUGCCGGGCAUUUUCCCAGAUGUUUACAGACUGUGAGUACAGCAGAAAAUCUUUUA